rnacentral:rRNA from 1 species
CCUACGGGAGGCAGCAGUAGGGAAUCUUGCGCAAUGGGGGAAACCCUGACGCAGCAACGCCGCGUGAGUGAGGAAGGCCUUCGGGUUGUAAAACUCUGUCAUGAGGGACAAAGGGUCACAUCUCUAAUAGGUUUGUGAUUUGAUGGUACCUCAAGAGGAAGCACCGGCUAACUUCGUGCCAGCAGCCGCGGUAAU